AGGGUUUGAUCCUGGCUCAGAACGAACGCUGGCGGCAGGCCUCAUACAUGCAAGUCGAGCGGUUAAAGCCCCUUCGGGGGUGUAUAAAGCGGCGAACGGGUGAGUAACAGGUGGAUAACCUACCUCUCGGAGGGGGACAACCCCGCGAAAGCGGGGCUAAUACCGCGUACGUUUACCGGCGCUCCGGUGCUGGUAAGGAAAGGGGCUCUCAAGCCUCGCCGAGAGAUGGGUCCGCCCCCCAUUAGCUAGUUGGUAAGGUAACGGCUUACCAAGGCAACGAUGGGUAGCCGAGCUGAGAGGUUGAUCGGCCACACUGGAACUGAGACACGGUCCAGACACCUACGGGUGGCAGCAGUAGGGAAUAUUGGACAAUGGGCGCAAGCCUGAUCCAGCCAUGCCGCGUGAGGGAUGAAGGCCUUCGGGUUGUAAACCUCUUUUCUGAGGAAAGGACCACCGUGGUAGGAAAUGAUCACGGUCUGACGGUACCUCAGGAAUAAGCAACGGCUAACUCCGUGCCAGCAGCCGCGGUAAUACGGAGGUUGCAAGCGUUGUUCGGAAUAACUGGGCGUAAAGAGGGCGUAGGCGGUUUUGUCAGUCCAAAGUGGAAUCCCGAGGCUCAACUUCGGACGUGCUUUGGAAACUGCAGAGCUUGAGUUCGUGAGAGGAGAGCGGAAUUCCAGGUGUAGCGGUGAAAUGCGUAGAUAUCUGGAGGAACACCCGUAGUGAAAGCGGCUCUCUGGCACGCGACUGACGCUGAUGCCCGAAAGCGUGGGUAGCAAACGGGAUUAGAUACCCCGGUAGUCCACGCCGUAAACGUUGUGCACUAGGUGUGGGAGGCGUCGACUCCUUCCGUGCCGCAGUUAACGCAUUAAGUGCACCGCCUGGGGAGUACGGUCACAAGACUGAAACUCAAAGGAAUUGACGGGGGCCCGCACAAGCGGUGGAGUAUGUGGUUUAAUUCGAGGCAACGCGAAGAACCUUACCCAGGCUUGACAUCCCAGGCCCGUCCUGGAAACAGGACUUUCCCUUCGGGGACCUGGUGACAGGUGUUGCAUGGCUGUCGUCAGUUCGUGUCGUGAGAUGUUGGGUUAAGUCCCGCAACGAGCGCAACCCCUUUCCCUAGUUACCAGCGGUUCGGCCGGGCACUCUAGGGAUACUGCCGGUGCUAAACCGGAGGAAGGUGGGGAUGACGUCAAGUCAUCACGGCCCUUAUGCCUGGGGCUACACACGUACUACAAUGGCCGGUACAAUGAGCUGCGAAACCGCGAGGUGGAGCCAAUCUCAAAAAGCCGGUCUCAGUUCGGAUUGGAGUCUGCAAUUCGACUCCAUGAAGUCGGAAUCGCUAGUAAUCGCGUAUCAGCCAUGACGCGGUGAAUACGUUCCCGGGCCUUGUACACACCGCCCGUCACAUGACCCGAGUCGGGUGCACCUGAAGUCACUGGCCUAACCUGGUUUAUCCGGGAAGGAGGUGCCCAAGGUGUGCCUGGUAAGGGGGAUGAAGUCGUAACAAGGUAGCCG
rnacentral:rRNA from 1 species